rnacentral:rRNA from 1 species
UCCCUAGCUGGUUUGAGAGGAUGAUCAGCCACACUGGGAAUGAGACACGGCCCCAGAUCCUACGGGAGGCAGCAGUGGGGAAUAUUGCACAAUGGGCGCAAGCCUGAUGCAGCCAUGCCGCGUGUGUGAAGAAGCCCUUCGGGUUGUAAAGCACUUUCAGUCAGGAGGAAAGGUUAGUAGUUAAUACCUGCUAGCUGUGACGUUACUGACAGAAGAAGCACCGGCUAACUCCGUGCCAGCAGCCGCGGUAAUACGGAGGGUGCGAGCGUUAAUCGGAAUUACUGGGCGUAAAGCGUACGCAGGCGGUUUGUUAAGCGAGAUGUGAAAGCCCCGGGCUCAACCUGGGAACUGCAUUUCGAACUGGCAAACUAGAGUGUGAUAGAGGGUGGUAGAAUUUCAGGUGUAGCGGUGAAAUGCGUAGAGAUCUGAAGGAAUACCGAUGGCGAAGGCAGCCACCUGGGUCAACACUGACGCUCAUGUACGAAAGCGUGGGGAGCAAACAGGAUUAGAUACCCUGGUAGUCCACGCCGUAAACGAUGUCUACUAGAAGCUCGGAGCCUCGGCUCUGUUUUUCAAAGCUAACGCAUUAAGUAGACCGCCUGGGGAGUACGGCCGCAAGGUUAAAACUCAAAUGAAUUGACGGGGGCCCGCACAAGCGGUGGAGCAUGUGGUUUAAUUCGAUGCAACGCGAAGAACCUUACCUACACUUGACAUACAGAGAACUUACCAGAGAUGGUUUGGUGCCUUCGGGAACUCUGAUACAGGUGCUGCAUGGCUGUCGUCAGCUCGUGU